rnacentral:rRNA from 1 species
GACGAACGCUGGCGGCGUGCUUAACACAUGCAAGUCGAACGAAGUGGCGAACGGGUGAGUAACGCGUAAUCAACCUGCCCUUCAGAGGGGUACAACAGUUGGAAACGACUGCUAAUACCGCAUACUGAAGGAGGGGUUUGCGUCUGAUUAGCUAGUUGGAGGGGUAACGGCCCACCAAGGCGAAGAUCAGUAGCCGGUCUUGGAGGAGUAACGGCCAAAUGUGGAAUGGGACACGGGCCAGACUCCUACGGGAGGCAGCAGGGGGGAAACUUCCGGAAUGGGCGAAAGUCUGACGGAGCAACGCCGCGGGGGGGAAGACGGCCUUCGGGUUGGAAAGCUCUGUUAAUCGGGACGCGGUACCGGAAUAGAAAGCCACGGCUAACUACGUGCCAGCAGCCGCGGUAAUAC